GGGAAUGAUACGAGAUCAAAGGCCCGACAAAUGCGUUCCAAACUAAAUGGGACCAUCCAGGAGUUUGUUAGUAAGGCCUUAGAUGCGUACACAAAAGAAAGGGAAAAUCAAGAUUUCAAAUAUUGGGAAUCUUGGUCCAAGACACCAAAUCUUGCAGCCAAAGCGCAUUGGAUCUCCGUUACAAGCAUCAACGAUUCAAUUUCGGUAGGAGAUGGAUCACAAGCCCAAAUUCUUGAGGGCAAGGCCCAAUAAGAAGAUUCCAAGCCCAAUCAAGAAAUCCACCCAUACUUAGUUGAAAAUCAAGCCAAAUUGUCAAAGUGGCCCAAGUUGUAAAGUUUUAUUUUUAUUUAUUUAUUUAUUUAUUUUACUUAGUUUAAAU
rnacentral:lncRNA from 1 species